AACGAACGUUGGCGGCGUGGAUUAGGCAUGCAAGUCGAACGGGUUGGGGGCAACUCCAACCUAGUGGCGAACGGGUGAGUAACGCGUGGGAAACCUGCCCUCGAGAUGGGGAUAACAUUUCUAACGAGGUGCUAAUACCGAAUAAGACCACGGAGCUGCAUGGUUCUGCGGUCAAAGAUGGCCUCUGCUUGCAAGCUAUCACUUGAGGAUGGUCCCGCGUCCCAUUAGCUAGUUGGCGGGGUAAUAGCCCACCAAGGCGACGAUGGGUAGCUGGUCUGAGAGGAUGGUCAGCCACACUGGGACUGAGAUACGGCCCAGACUCCUACGGGUGGCUG
rnacentral:rRNA from 1 species